rnacentral:rRNA from 1 species
CCCGGCACAAGCGGUGGAGUAUGUGGUUAAUUCGAUGCAACGCGAAGAACCUUACCUGGUCUUGACAUCCCGGAGACCCUUAGGAAACUAGGGGGUGGCUUCCAUCUGGAAGAAUCUGGAGACAGGUGCUGCAUGGCUGUCGUCAGCUCGUGUCGUGAGAUGUUGGGUUAAGUCCCGCAACGAGCGCAACCCUUGCCUUUAGUUGCCAGCAGUUCGGCUGGGCACUCUAAAGGGACUGCCGGUGUUAAACCGGAGGAAGGUGGGGAUGACGUCAAGUCCUCAUGGCCUUUAUGACCAGGGCUACACACGUACUACAAUGGCCGAUACAAAGGGCAGCGACACUGCGAGGUGAAGCCAAUCCCGUAAAAUCGGUCUCAGUCCGGAUUGGAGUCUGCAACUCGACUCCAUGAAGUUGGAAUCGCUAGUAAUCGUGGAUCAGCAUGCCACGGUGAAUACGUUCCCGGGCCUU